ACGAACAGAACAUGAUCACGCGCAGCAACGCUCUACGCGUACUCCUACUCAUAAGUUAAUCUACUCCUAUGUGUGUGUAUAAUGCAAGACAAAUAAACCCUUCUCGUUUGAAGCCUACAGAAAUCAGAAGUGGGAUCGACUCGCCAUUUUCAUCAUCAGAACAAGGUGGGCUUUGAUUGAGUUGGAUUGCAAAGUAUGCUCACGCGCCGUGCAACACGUAACGUGGACGCUCCGCGAACGAUGGACGGGACGCUGACAGAAUCCAGCACUACUGUUGACCAAAACCUGGCGAACGUAGUCGACGACAACGUACAAGUCGUUAACAGCCACAGGAAUGGAGAAGAGGGCGCGGACAGCGAUGCGACACCAUCAAGUGGGCUUUACGGCACGAUUCGCAUGGGACACCACACUCACAGCAACGCUGAUGCUGGGACAAGUGCACCGAACAAACGGCAACAACGCGGACGUUUUUGAUAUUCAGUCACUUAUGCAAGCCGCAGUGCAAGCAGCGGUUAGAGAAGCUAUGGACGGGGCUCGACAACUCUACGAAUCACCCUCCGGCCACCGCAACGUACUGUUGCCAGCGAUGAGUCAUCACCUCGCUUCAGCGAGCGCGAACUUUAUACCGACAUGUGAUCCUGCUACGAACACUCAGCCGACGGUGGAAGCGUGAAUCAACAAGGUAGACGGACUCGCGGCGGCUUACGGCUGGAAUGAUAAACACACUUCUUGCUUUGCGCUUAACGCAAUAUACAUGGGUAGAGUGGAAAAGCAAGCUUCGAGAAGCGUUUCCAUCAAGUGCAAGUUUUCAACAGCUACUGCAGUAAAUGGAGGCCCGAAAAAGAAACCGGGACGAAGCCAUCGAUAUUUACUUCUACGACAAACUCGCCAAGGCCAGAAGAUGCGGACUGGACGAUCCCGCUUGCAUCGAGUAUAUUAUCACUGGCCUCAACGACGAAAACGCAAGGUUUGAUCGCUAAGUGUGCGUGAAUUUGCAAAUCCCCAGGAACUCCUUCGUUGCCUGAAACUAUUGGACGAACGAGUGGACAUCGUCAAGCACUCGCGUUCCGUGGGUGGCCAAGACUCCAGUAAGAGUGCGAAACAGAGCACCGGUCAAGCCGCAUCAUCCAAAGGAAAAGGAAAGCCAAAGUACAACGAGAAAGGAGAACCUCUCUGCUUCAAUUGCUCCGAAUACGGACAUCUUUCAGCCGCAUGUCCAUAGCCACAGAGGAAGCCACGCUGCGAAAAAUGCGAACGAACAGGGCAUAAGACUAAAGACUGUCGUCAGGACAAAGGCAAGGGUUCGGCAACGCUGCAGUCAGCAGCUGUGCUCGCACAAAACGUGGUCACAGCGGAAGGGCCAGCGAACGCGAAGUAUUUCAUGACGGCUCUCCUGGACGGUAAAGAAGUCGAGGCAUUUGUUGACAUGAGCAGCCAGUGCGUCAGCUUCGCAAGACUAACGCAGACGAAUUAUCUGUUCAGCGAUCUCUCAGCUUCAUUUGAGAUCCACGGCUACGGCUCUGGCAAAAUAAUUCCCAUCGGCAAAGCGCGACUGGAACUGAGAGCUGAUGAAGCCACAGCAACGAUGGACGUCUACGUCGUCCCAGACAAUGCCCAAGUAGUUCCGUUGCUGAUCGGGCAACCCUUCACAGAGCAAGCACACGUCACCGUCAUGCUCAGGGGUAUCAUGCUGCGGAUCUUCGAAGAACAUGCGCACCUAGACGAAGAUGGCACCCUGCAGGACAUUAAAAUACCCGCUCUUACGCCACGACAUGUCAGCCUUUGGGCGAAGAAGAGAACAGUUAUUCCUCCGAACUACGUCGGACUUAUCACACUGUACAUGAAAGAUGAGAACAUGGGUGACGUCUACGUCGAUGCUCAGUAUCGAUCUGAUCGAGGUUAUGAGCACUGCAUCCUUAGUUGCAUGCUUCGCGAGGAUGAACAACAGGAGUACCUUCUGCCGGUCGUAAAUGUAUCCGAGCACGAACUUUCCAUUCAAGAGGACGACAGAGUAGUAAGAGCACAGUGGUGUAAGCCAGAGGAUACGCCAGCGGUGGUCGAGGUGCUGUCCAACAACGAGGGCCAUAGUAGCGAGAUCAAGGCUUCCGAAAUAAACGUGGGCACAUCUGUAACCCCUGCCCAAGCACAAGAACUAACUAAACUCUUGAACGACUACAGGGAUUGUUUUGCACAGUCAAUGUCUGAAAUCGGUUGUACGGCGCUCACAGAAAUGCGGAUCGACCUCAUCGAAGACAGCGUCGUCCCGUCCGUACCGUCUCGCUCACUCGGAAAGGGAAAUGGUUCGAGGUAUUGUAUGAGAACUGGAGGAAGCCGGCAUCGUAAAAGAGUCAAACUCUGACUUCGCAAGCCCUAUUCUGCUGGUGACGAAGAAAACUGGUGAAAAACGAUUGUGUGUAGAUAUUCGUGCGCUCAACCGUAUCACAAAAAAAAAGAAAAAAGAAAAAGAAAGCUACACCCUUCCACUGAUUGACGACCAGCUGGACAGAUUGCACGACAAAAAGUAUUUCACCACGUUAGACCUAGCAUCGGGCAAUUAUCAAGUGCCGAUAACGGAGUCGAGACUGUCGAAGACAGCAUUUGUAAGUCCAGACGGGCGUUACGAAUUUACCAGAAUGCCCUUCGGUCUCGUCAACGCACCAGUUGUCUUUCAAAGGAUGAUGAAUGCCGUACUUGGUCCACUGAGACACACGAUAGUUAUGGCUUACAUGGACGACCUACUGAGCCCUACACGGACUGUAGAGGGGGACCGACUUGUCUCCGUUAGGUGUUGAGUGUCCUCAGGGACGCAAAUUUGACACUACGACUGAAAAAGUGUUCGUUCUUCCAAGAACAGACGUUAUACCUGGGCUAUGAAAUCUCUGAAUCAGGAAUCAACCCAGACCCGAACUAGCUUGUAGCAUCGCGGAAUUUCUAGUCCCACGUAAUCAGCACGAACUAAGACGAUUCCUCGGACUGUGCAGCUACUUCCGCAGAUUCAUAGCACGAUUCGCGCUCAUUGCAAAGCCAUUUAGCCACUUAGCCUUGCUUUGCAAGGAUCAGACAUGGUGUUGGUCGUCCGACCAAGAAAGCGCGUUCCUUGAACUUAAACGAAGGCUGAUGGAGAAGCCAGCACUGGCCUUAUAUUCACCUAUGGCCAGGACCGAGCUCCACACGGAUGCUUCAAGCCACGGCCUUGCAGGUGUGCUUCUGCAGGAACAAUCAGACGAUCCCCCCCAUCCGGUUGUGUAUGUCAGCCGCCGAACUACACGUGAGGAGGAAAAGUAUCACUCGUACGAACUGGAGGCAUUGGCUGUCGUCUGGACUGUGGAAAAGCUACGCCCUUACCCGCUUGGGUUGAACUCCACGGUGGUCACUGACUGUCAUUCUCUUCGAACGGCUUUCUCGAAGAAACACAUCGUUCCCCGGAUUGGUAGAUGGUAUCCUCGGCUUCAGGAGUACCGCUUCGAGAUCGAGCACAGACAAGGCGAAAGGAUGGGCCACGUAGACGCGCUAAGCCAAUGCCACCUAGACUAACAAGGCCACUCCAUGCGAACGUGACGUCACCACGAUCGGUCCCUCGGCUCUGGGGAGCAGCAGCUGUAGACUCGCAAGCACGAAGAGAGGAUUGCAAAUGCGCCUUCGCAUGCACAUCGUGCUUUGGUUUCUAUUAUUUCGUUAUAACAGUGAAGCAGAACAGCUGCAGUGGUGCAAUAAAAGCCGCGCGAAUGCUAUCUUUGCGGAAGAAGCAACACUGAACAUUUUAUUCCAAACCCAAGACAUUGUAGUCCCAGCAUAAGGGGAAGUUGCUUUAUUUUUCACAACAAGCUAAAUUAAUGAACGAACACAAUAGACGUAUAAGGAAAUAUACUACAUGGUGAUUGACUUCAAAUUAACAACAAAUGUAGCGUAACUAUCACAUACAGUUGUCCAAUAAGAUGACUGUCGUGCAAAAGUAUCGAGCUGAGACUGAGGUGCAGCUUUGCUGUUCACAAGUUAUUAUCCAUAUUUACAACCUCUAUGUACAAGCUUCAGUGUUGGUGUCUUCCUGUUCUUCCCUGCUGGCUUUUGCUCAAGUGGCAUGUCAUUCCUUUUCUUGCAGUAAUUCUUGCAGUAUUUGUUGCUGCACAGAGAAUGUGGCGGAGUACCAGACCUGGCGCGUGGCCAUUCACACAGAAGUCGAAGUCUUCAAAGGUAUCCAGCAGUUAUUGCGUCAGGUUCACCACCAAUUGUGUUUGGUUCCUAGCUGCAUGAAACCGCACAGCAUGUUUCUGAGACAUCAGUUUUUCUACUACAAGCUCGGUAUAGAGAACUGAAUUCACCACAAAUGGUUGAGGGAACUUCAGGCCUCCUCUCGUCAGGUUCUCAAUCAUUGAACUUUCGAUUACGAGUUCUCGGUGCGUUAGGACCAGAUUCUCUUCACAUGUCUUGCAAGCUAACUUCUUUAACGUCGAAUGAGCGCAUAGCCUGCGACGUAGGUUAUAGCAGCCAUGACAUCUCUUUUACUUGCUGUGUCUUCAUCUGUGAUUUCAAUGUCAAAGUCUUCAUCAUCAGCAGCAGGUGAGUUUGACAUUUCUCCCAUUUCUUCAUCUAAAGGCAAAGACAUCAUCUUCUGCAGUCUCAGUUUGUUUUCAGACUCGUAGAUCUGCCUUACAGAUAUGUGAUACUGUGUUCCAGAUAACCUUCUAUAUUGGCCAAAUCUCUCUUCGAGACUGUCUGUCUGGAAUUUUCCAAGGAGAACAUAUGUGAAGCCGAGUUCUUCAAGGCAGUACCUUGAUACUUCUGUCAGUGCAUAGCAUGUGAUACGAAAAGCUUGGUGGGUCUCCCGUGUUAAUCUGCCCGAGUCAAGGUUCUGCCGCUCCCAUUCGUCAAGUCAUUCAACAACACUAUUCGAAAACACAAUCUGGGGCUCAGUCAUCGAAGUCACUGGCUGUUGGACUGGAUCACGAAUUCACGAAUCACGGAAUUUUGAGAUGCUCAACUGAGCAGCAUCCAGUCGUGCUCUCUUCUGGCAAGGCAAUUCUCUUGAUCCUUCUGCUUUUGUCAAGUAGGAUGGACAGUCCGAGAAGAUUGUAGGGAUGACAUCAAAUGUGAGACGCCACUUCUCCAGGGGUAUACCGUUAGAACUUUGCCAGUCUUGGGGUCUUCAUAGCUUGAAGUGGUCACAAUGGCUUCAAAGUGUCGUUCACGCACCUGGAAGUGAA